GGGCAGCUUCGUUCGCUCCCCGAUUUUUUCGUCCUGGCCUCGUCGGUUCUGGCCUGAUGUUGUAGUAGGUCUGGCCAACGUGGAAAGGCUGGCUAGUUAACCACGCCGAUUCAGUCAAGCUCCAGCAUCCGUUCACUGAGGCGGCUCGAUGGUGCAACGCUCACCGAAAAAUCCCAUAGACGAGCAACGCGUUCGGUCGGUUGUUUGUGUGUGUCAGUGGGUGAACAGUGCGUAUGAGCGAUUUUCGGUGGCACUGAAGAUGGCCCAAAACGAACCGGUGGACCUUAAAGUUGUUGGGUAAACAACGGAAAGUCGGUUAAGCGUGGCGAGUAACGGGUUGCGGAUUGAAUAAACAAGGCCAAGAGCGAAUGGAAUGUGCACAAACUGCAGAAAAAACCAAGAAAAUUUAACACAAAUAUUCAACAAAAAAACACGUCAAAAAUAAGCAUCAACAUCAACCGGAAAUCAACUAAAUUGUCGUCACUCCAAUCAAGUGGAAAUUUGAUUAAAAAAAGGAGAGAAGGAGGCCAAAGGAAAAUAACUGAAGGGAGAGCAGAGGAAAA